AACAAUACAAGGCAGUUAAAAUGCUUUGUAAUUGGAAUGAUAGAAAUUUAAACCCUUUUUAAAGUAUCAAUUGGAGGGCAAGUCUGGUGCCAGCAGCCGCGGUAAUUCCAGCUCCAAUAGCGUAUAUUAAAAUUGUUGCAGUUAAAAAGCUCGUAGUUGAAGUUCUGCUAAAAGUAACCGGUCUGCUUUUAAUAAAAGUGGUAUCUUGGUGUGUAUUUAGCAAUGAUGUCCUUUGAAGUGUUUUUUACUUUAUUGUAAUAAAGCAUAUUCAGGACUUUUACUUUGARAAAAUUAGAGUGUUUCUAGCAGGCYGACGCUUUGAAUACUGCAGCAUGGAAUAAUAAGAUAGGAUUUUAGUUCUACAUUAUUGGUUUUAAGAGCUAAAUUAAUGAUUGAUAGGGACAGUUGGGGGCAUUUGUAUUUAACUGUCAGAGGUGAAAUUCUUAGAUUUGUUAAAGACAAACUACUGCGAAAGCAUUUGCCAAAGAUGUUUUCAUUAAUCAAGAACGAAAGUUAGGGGAUCGAAGACGAUCAGAUACCGUCGUAGUCUUAACUAUAAACUAUGCCGACUAGAGAUUGGAGGUCGUCUUUAUAAAC
rnacentral:rRNA from 1 species